rnacentral:piRNA from 1 species
CUGCUUUCUGAUUGGUUCCCCCCA